rnacentral:misc_RNA from 1 species
UACGUAGGGCGCAAGCGUUGUCCGGAUUUACUGGGCGUAAAGAGCUCGUAGGCGGUUUGUCGCGUCGGUCGUGAAAAAUCACAGCUCAACUGUGAACGUGCGGCCGAUACGGGCAGACUCGAGGGCGGUAGAGGCAAGCGGAAUUCCUGGUGUAGCGGUGAAAUGCGCAGAUAUCAGGAGGAACACCGACGGCGAAGGCAGCUUGCUGGGCCGUGCCUGACGCUGAGGAGCGAAAGCGUGGGGAGCGAACAGG